AAGCCUAUACUUCCGGGGAUCAUUUCUAUAGUUUGUGACCUAGAAUAAAGGUAGAAAACUGCCUGAUCCAAGGAAUAAAUACCUUCAUACCCAUUUCUUACUCAAGCUCUCCUGG
rnacentral:snoRNA from 1 species